ACGAGAGGUCGAGAGCACCGCACGCUGCUCCAAUGAUGCACCUGGCAAGGCAUAGAUGGAGUCGCUGUGCCGAUCUAGUUCCUGCAACGAUGUCAGAGGAACGACGACCGGCACCAGUGGCGCGCGCAAUGCCUGACGAGUACUAAAGAUGGCAAUUUUUACCCGAAACCCGAAACCCGAUGGGUAAUUAUCUCAAUAGGG
rnacentral:lncRNA from 1 species